UGUUCUCGCACCAAAUGUCAUUUUUAUCGCUUGUUUAUUGCACAUUUUUUCCUCCUAAUGAGAGGAAAAUUAAAUUUCUUUAAAGUGUAAGGAGUUUUUGAAAGUUUACUUUCGUUUAUGGUGUUACAGAUAUACCAGUACACAUUAAUAAGUUAUUAAAAAAAACAGGUUCAAUAACAUGUUUCAUGAAAGAAAAAAAAAUUCCGUUAUUUAUACAUAAACUACAAAUAAAAACAAAUUAAAGCAAUAAAAAAAUUUCGUGAAAUUAAAAACAAAUAUAUUUAAACUAAAUUAAUCAAUUGGUUCAGAUUCGUGAUAAUAAAUUGAAAUCUUUUGUAUAAUUCGCCGGGUUGUGAUAAUAUAUACAUAUAUAUACAUACAUAUAUGAUGGCAGAAAGAUAAAAUGAUUAUUUAAACAAGUGUACUCACCUGUUUAUAUAAAUGAUAGAAGAUGAUGAAAUGUGAGUCAAAUCGUAGACAUGCAGCAGCACAGCUCAACGACAGGCGUCAGACUGAAAUAAUCGUAACAUCUGCCCUGAAAAUAUAGGUUUGCAAUCAAUCCCCCUCUUUUCUCACUUAAUACCGAACAAAAAGUAUAACAUAUACAAGUCGUUUCUAAAGAAACUAUAAUACAUUACUAAAUAAAGAAAUGUUUUUCUAUAUAUCUAUCUAAAUUCAACAUAACCUUGAACCCUAAAAAGAAGCUCCAAAAA